CCUGACAUUACGUGCCUGGUUCCUCUCUUGCCUCCCUCGCAAGAAGCAUUUCCUCUGCCUGCGGCUCUGACAAACACACUCCCAAAAGCUGCGGCGCACAGAGCCGGUGGCCAGCGGGACUGCGCUCCCGCGCCGGGCCGAGCGCAGCCCGGCGCUGCCGAGGCGCCCCCGCAUCCCGCCGCCGGCUUCCUCCGCACCACCGACCCCGUCCCUGCCCGGGGGCCCUUCCACCGACCCGGCCGAGCCGCCGCUCCCCUCCCGGCCGGCCCCGGCCCCGGCCCGGCCCCGCCGCGCCCCGUACCUGCCCCGGCCCGGCGGCGGAAGCGGCGGCGGCGGAAGCGGCGGCGGAAGCGGCGGGAGCGGGCGGAGCGAGCGGAGCCAUGUCGGGCCGGGAGGGUAAGGCCGGGCCCGGGGCCGCCGGUGCCGCCCGCCCGGCCCCGCCCGGCCCUCACUGUCCCCUCUGUCUUUGCAGGCGGCAAGAAGAAGCCGCUGAAGCAGCCGAAGAAGCAGACGAAGGACCUGGAUGAGACGGAUCUGGCAUUCAAACAAAAACAGAAGGAGGAGCAAAAGAAACUUGAGGAGAUGAAAGCAAAAGCUGCUGGAAAAGGGCCCCUGGCCAGUGGUGGAAUAAAGAAGUCUGGCAAAAAGUAGCUUGAUCAAACUGCAGGCUAUGAAGUGAUCAAGUUACCCAAUGGACCUGCAGACUUCAGAGAGUCUUGAAAACACUCUGUCAUUUGGGAAACAUUGUACAUUUUGUUUAGUCACAAUAAAUCCUUUUUGUUAAGAUGUGAUACUUUCUCU
rnacentral:lncRNA from 1 species